UACAGAGGUCCCAAGCGUUGUUCGGAUUCACUGGGCGUAAAGGGUGCGUAGGUGGUCGGGUAAGUCUGAGGUGAAAUCUCCGAGCUCAACUCGGAAACUGCCUUGGAUACUAUUCGGCUUGAGGGUUGGAGGGGGAACUGGAAUUCUCGGUGUAGCAGUGAAAUGCGUAGAUAUCAAGCGGAACACCAGUGGCGAAGGCGAGUCCCUGGACAACACCUGACACUGAGGCACGAAAGCUAGGGGAGCAAACAGG
rnacentral:rRNA from 1 species